GGACGGGUGAGUAAUGCCUAGGAAAUUGCCUUGAUGUGGGGGAUAACCAUUGGAAACGAUGGCUAAUACCGCAUAAUGCCUACGGGCCAAAGAGGGGGANCUUCGGACCUCUCGCGUCAAGAUAUGCCUAGGUGGGAUUAGCUAGUUGGUGAGGUAAUGGCUCACCAAGGCGACGAUCCCUAGCUGGUCUGAGAGGAUGAUCAGCCACACUGGAACUGAGACACGGUCCAGACUCCUACGGGAGGCAGCAGUGGGGAAUAUUGCACAAUGGGCGAAAGCCUGAUGCAGCCAUGCCGCGUGUAUGAAGAAGGCCUUCGGGUUGUAAAGUACUUUCAGUUGUGAGGAAGGGUGUGUAGUUAAUAGCUGCNCAUCUUGACGUUAGCAACAGAAGAAGCACCGGCUAACUCCGUGCCAGCAGCCGCGGUAAUACGGAGGGUGCGAGCGUUAAUCGGAAUUACUGGGCGUAAAGCGCAUGCAGGUGGUUCAUUAAGUCAGAUGUGAAAGCCCGGGGCUCAACCUCGGAACUGCAUUUGAAACUGGUGAACUAGAGUGCUGUAGAGGGGGGUAGAAUUUCAGGUGUAGCGGUGAAAUGCGUAGAGAUCUGAAGGAAUACCAGUGGCGAAGGCGGCCCCCUGNNNAGACACUGACACUCAGAUGCGAAAGCGUGGGGAGCAAACAGGAUUAGAUACCCUNNNAGUCCACGCCGUAAACGAUGNCUACUU
rnacentral:rRNA from 1 species